rnacentral:lncRNA from 1 species
AGAAGAGAAGAAAGAAAAAGCACUUUUCCGUAGACGUUUUUUCAGUAAAAUUGGUUCUGCAUUAUGAAGCUUGGAUCUUCAAACUUUGAAGAAGGAAGCAAGGUUGCUAGAGCAAACUGGGUAUGUGUUUUUGUGCUGCUAACGCCAAUGAAAACAAAAAGAUCGAGUCUGUCAGAACACCGUGUGGCCACCCCAGUUGAUAGACUCAACCGAGAACGAUCAUCUACAGCUUGGAUGAGACCACAACAUGCGGAUCAUCUGGGCCGUUAAUCACGCUCUGAUCACACGGUCGUGAUUCAUCCACCAGACUUAUGUUCCUGUCUCCUUAGAAAUCAAGGACACAGUAGUACGAGCCUAUAGAACAGAUCCUGUUCAAGUAAGGUCGUGCUUUUAAGUGCUCUGAUUUGGUUAUAUAAACGUUUAUGAUUUUCUUCACUUAACCGUUGUGGGAGUAAUAUAAUGCCUUUCGUUGUAGCUCUCAGUUUGGGACUUAUAUUUCAAAAAAAAAUGCUUCUGAUAAGUCUCUUAAUCUUUCCAGAUUUUGUUACCAUUUCAACAAACAGGGGCAUCUUUUCAUGAUUGGUAAGAUUUUAUAGAUGAAAUCGUUAAUAUGUUUCUAAAGUUCUUUUCUUUUUAUUUAUAUUUAGUGGUAGUUAUUAUCAGUAGCUAAUUCAUUUAUUUAAUCAAUUUUAAUUUGUCAUAUGGAAAUUUUCAUUAAAAUCAAACAAAUUUUCUCUCCUCAGAAGAAUUCUGCUUUGGAUGGAUAGACUGGCAGCGUUAAAUUAACUGAUAAUACGUGUCACCUCAUGGUUCUAUACUCUUAGUUAGUGUAUUUUGUUUACAAGCAGUUUGAUACACUGAUUUCAAUUCCAAUCUAUGAAUACAAAAUUAUCAUUAUCCCUUUACUUUCAUUUGAGCUGUGAAUAGCUGAUGCGUUUACAUGAUAUAUUAUUUCUCAGGUAGAAAAGCCUUAACAUUACUUGGACUUCAAAGAUAUGGAUGAGGCAAACAUGCCAGAUUCUGGCCGAGUGAUUUUAGCUGAUGGAGUUCUUCAAGCUUGUUCAGCAACACUUGGGUGACAAUAUCGAUGAGAAGAUUCCAGAGGAAGACACUGAGUCGUCUCCUUCCC